rfam:Brachypodium distachyon strain Bd21 chromosome 1, whole genome shotgun sequence.
CUAUUACUCCCUCCGUCCAACAAAAGAUGUCUCAAGUUUGUCAAAAUUUGGGUGUAUCUAGACAUGACUUAGUGUAUAGAUGCAUUCAAAUUUAGUCAAAGUUGAGACAUCCUUUAUUGGACGGAGGGAGUAUAUG